rnacentral:rRNA from 1 species
CCUACGGGGGGCUGCAGUAGGGAAUUUUCGGCAAUGGGGGGAAGCCUGACCGAGCAACGCCGCGUGAACGAAGAAGUUAUUCGUAAUGUAAAGUUCUUUUAACAGGGAAGAAAGAGAAAUUUGACGGUACCUGAAGAAUAAGCUCCGGCUAACUACGUGCCAGCAGCCGCGGUAAUACGUAGCGAGCGAGGGUUACCGGGAAUUAUUGGGCGAAACGGGUGCGUAGAUGGAAUAGAAAGUCUUUGGUAAAAAUGCUGGGCUCAACCCAGUAGGGCAAAAGAUACUGCAAAGCUAGAGUAUGACAGAGGAAAGGGGAACUACAGGUGUAGCGGUAAAAUGCGUAAAUAUAUGUAAGAACACCAGUGGCGAAGGCGGCUUGCUGGGUCGAUACUGACAUUGAGGCACGAAAGCGUGGGGAGCAAACAGGAUUAGAUACCCGAGUAGUC